UACGGAGGGUGCGAGCGUUGUCCGGAAUCAUUGGGCGUAAAGGGCGCGUAGGUGGCCCGGUCAGUCCGUGGUGAAAGCGCGGGGCUCAACCCUGCGUCGGCCAGGGAUACUGCCGCGGCUCGAGCACUGUAGAGGCAGGCGGAAUUCCGGGUGUAGCGGUGGAAUGCGUAGAGAUCCGGAAGAACACCGGUGGCGAAGGCGGCCUGCUGGGCAGUUUGGCUGACACUGAGGCGCGACAGCGUGGGGAGCAAACAGG
rnacentral:rRNA from 1 species